rnacentral:lncRNA from 10 species
UUUUUAGUAGAGACGGGUAUCACCGCGUUAGCCAGGAUGGUCUCGAUCUCCUGACCUCGUGAUCCUCCCGCCUCAGCCUUCCAAAGUGCUGGGAUUACAGGCGUGAGCCACCGUGCCUGGCGUUUUUUCAUUUGUUUAAAGGCAGGGCCUUAUUGCCCUCAGAAAGCCUUCAGGAUUGGGCCUGCCAGACCAUGCCUCCCAGUUUAGAUUCCCCAGGGCAGGGCCAUGUCCCCCCGAAACCCCUCAGAUUAGGUAUUUGUGUCCCUUACCCCCUAGACCAGGGUCCUCUCCCCUACCCCCUUAAACCAGGUCCCGUCCCCUCUCAGACCUUCCAGGGCUCUCCAAGGACAGAACAAAGUGGGGAGUCCACAGAUCCUGGAGUGCCUCCCUUGUCGCCCCCUAACAAAUCCGAAUGCUUAUUUUUAGUUUCUUUGUUUUGGUUUUUAGAGACAAGGUCUUCCUCUGUCGCCCAGGCUGGAGUGCAAUGGGCAAGAUCAUGGCUUACUGCAGCCUCGACCUCCAGAGCUCAAGGGAUUCUCCUGCCUCUGUCUCCUGAGUAGCUGGUCUACAGAGACUGGGUCUCGCUCUGUCGCUCAGGAUGGUGUCGAACUCCUGGGUUCCAGCAAUUCUCUCACCUCAGCCUCUGAAAGUGCUGGGAUUACAGGGGUGAGCCACUGUACCCGGUCCCACCGUGCCCUUUUGCAGUCAACCUCUCCUGUCCCAAUAUUUCACCGUCCCUAUAGUUUUUUUUCUCCUAGAACAUUAUAGAAAUAGAGUCAUACAAUAUGCAACCUUUGCGUUGAACUUCUUUCCCUCAUCCUAAUACAUUUGAGAGUUCUCCAUGUGGCUAGGUAUCACCAAUUCCUUCUUUUUGAUUUUUUUUUUUUUUGAGAUGGAGUUUCAUUUGUUCUUGUCACCUAGUCUGGAGUGCAAUGGUGCAAUCUCGGCUCACUGCAACCUCCACCUCCUGGGUUCAAGCAAUUCUCCUGCCUCAGCCUCCUGAGUAGCUGGGAUUACAGGUGCGUACCACCAAACUCAGCUAAUUUUUUCGUUUUUAGUAGAGAUGGGGUUUCGCCAUGUUGUCCAGGCUAGUCUCGAACUCCUGACCUCAGGCGAUCCGCCCGCCUCAGCCUCCCAAAGUGCUGAGAUUACAGGCAUGGUCUUC